GCUUCCCUCCGCUCCCUUCGCCGCGCCUCGCGUGCUAGCGGUGCCCUUGUGAGCCACUGCGUUCUCCAAGGCCAGAACGGGACAGUUGACGAUGGUCGUACUUCUCCAUGUUCUGAGACCAGUUUAAACAAAAACAAAAACCAGACAACAACCUUGCAAGGGAAAGAAUUCAGAGUAAAUAAACAGUCUUUUUCUGGGAAGUAAAAUAUUUCCCUAAGAUGGAGAAAUUGAGAUGAGAGCUCAUCCACAAGAUUACCCAUCAAUGAGCACCAAUAGCAACCAAAUCCACUAGAAGACUGGGAGCUUUUAAGUCAAGAAACUUACAUCAGUAUCAUCAUUCCAAGAAGCGGUAUCCAAGCUGUUUUAUCGAAAGUGCGCAUGGGAGAUAAGACUCUGAGAAUUUAUAGAAACAAACAUUAGAAGGCAGGAAUGUGGAGAGAAGAAAGCUACCUGACAAGGGAAUCUCAGGAUACAAGGAAAACACCAAGAUGUGCUUGCCUCCCCUCUGCCUUCCACCAUGGUUGUAAGUUUCCUGAGGUCUACCCAGAAGCAGAAGCCUGGACAGCCUGCAGAACUUAACUUGAAAUUUAUCUACUGAAUUCCUAUUAUGAUAGGAUGUGAGAAUGUCUUCGCUGCAUUAUUAUUUUUCAGCAUUGCCUCUGCUGACUUCAUGGGAGGAAUGGUGUUUCUUCUUCUCUCCCAUGUCAUGGAAGACACUCCUGAUGGCAUGUCUGUAGGUCUGUAGGAAAGAAUAAUCACCUCAGUAGCUUAGUGUGUGUAUGUGUGUGUGUGUGUCUGACACACUGUAGGUACAUAAUAAAGAUUUGAAAAUAUGAGUUUUUUUUAA
rnacentral:lncRNA from 1 species